rnacentral:sRNA from 1 species
GUUUCAAUUCCUCAUAGGCAGGCUAUCGGCCGUCUUCGGCUACACCCCCUUUAAGUGCUCCCAUUUG